GCCUGGGUGGCUCAGUCAGUUAAGCGUCUGACUUCGGCUCAGUUCAUGAUCUUGCAGUUUGUGAGUUCGAGCCUCACUUCGGGCU
rnacentral:tRNA from 1 species